GGGCGGGGGCGGAACUGACGUUGGACUCGCACCUCCCGGGUGCCAGAGUUCGUGUAGACUCCGGUCCUGGAGCUGUAUGCUGCUGCUGUCCCAGCUUCCCAGGUGUGGAAACUGAAGGACCGAGAGAUUAAACGGGUGUGCUGAGUAAAUUCACAGGCUGAGAUUCGAAUUCUCCUCCCCCAACGAAGCUGGAGCCUGUGCUCUCUUCCUUGAUCACCACGUUUCUUUGCGAGCUGAUGGAGGAAAGCGUGAGGAAUGAUAAGGCCCUGGAGACUGGAGAACGCGAGCUUAUCGCUGUCUCAGAUGCGCACGCUUAGGCGUUGAGAGCUCACAGGCCCACUUGCAUAACCACUUUCUUGAUAGCGGGGUUACAGCUUGAGAACACGGGGCUUUGUGCACGGCGAGACCUCGAGACUAGUCCUGGGUCUGCUACUGGCCGUUGUGACACCUUAAGUCAUUUCCCCUAUUCUGAGACUCCGUUUCCUCGUCUGUAAGGUGGGAAGAAUAGUAUCUGUUUCAUAGGAUCACAGAAUCUCUGAGGACAAAUGGGAAUUCUCACUGAUUUCUAGGACUACCCUGGGGCAGUAAGAAAAAGAAGAUACAGAAAAUUACCUUUUCGCUUUGGCUGGAAGGAGGAUAUCAGCUCGAGGGAAGGCAGUGGACGGUAACUGGCCUGUAUUGCGGGUAACGGGAGGUCUGGCAACACCGGCAACACAUCGGGCACCUGCAGGGAACAGACCCAUGGGUGGAGAGUCAGUGAGUAUGAGCACAGCUCUCUUUCCUACACUCUAUUCCCAGGAGCAUUAACUGGACACCUUGCACAGGAAGAUCCAGGCUGGAGGGGGCCACAGUCAUGCCUGACACCACCUCAGUCAGGAAAUAAAUACAGAUGGGCCCAUCACAAGAGAAUAACGCAGAAAAUUCUUAUUUGGGGUACAAUGUACCCUGACAACCAGUAAAGCCCAGAGGAAAUUACCGCAAGCUGAAAUUCAACAGGCCCCCUAAAAGCAAGCUAAGGAAAACAGUGGCAGGGCAAUCCUCUGAGCUCUGCAGGGCCAGGUACUCUGGGUGGGAAGCCACCAAGGGGCUGAAGGGGUUACCUUUCUCAGCUUGGCUGAAUCAGCUCCAGCCGGCUGCAGCUUCUCUGACUUGGUUUUGUUCACCUUGGGUAAUUUCUGAACUGAGUCCAAGUUUUUACUAGUGCUUUUAGAGUCAUUUUUUUUAAGUCCUUUAUCUCCAAG